GGGAGAAUGAGCGCGGGGCGGGGAGGAGGGGGCUGUCAGAUUGGCAUUUUUGCUAACAACCUGCCACGCAAAUUCCCCCGGGAAGGAGGACAAGGGGUGUGGAGGGAGGGCAGGGAAGCCUUGAUUUCUCUGCACGUUCGGGAACGCCCCCUCCCCCCAAAUCUUUUCCCGCUUUUCUUCGGGCUCACCUGUUUAUUUCCAUCAACCGGAGCUCGCAGUUUUUAAUGUAGGCUUGAGAGGCUGUUUCUUUUAUUAGAAACGUUAUUGAGGAGGGGGUGCGUUGCUGUAAUGUAUGCUGGUCCAGGUCGUUUUUCAGGAAUAGGGAGGGGACUUGGCAGAGACCACCUGCUCCUGGGCAUAGCUGACCCUAGGGCUUCUCCCAGCCUUAUGGAGCGAGGAACCCUUUCUCUCACUCAACUACCCGCACACUAGCGGCCACCUUCCCUGAGAAGGACCACGCCUAUACUUAUUCCCGCUUUGGAGGAGGGUGAGCUGAGGAACCAGGGAAUCCUCUGUUCCCAGAGCUUUUAGCUAACACUCACCCCCCCCCCCCAAUACACACGCACGGAAUUGGCCAAAAAGUGCUUCUUUCAUCUGUUUAUUAAUCUCGGCAAGUCCAAACGUUCCUGUCUCCCUUCUGCCGCCCCCCCCCCCGCAAAUUGUGAUCUACAGAUGUGUUGGGAUUAUCUCUUGCCUUUGGACCUGCACCCCACCAACCAGCAACUAACUGCUGGGCUUAGGUUGAGAGAGGUGACCACCUUCAGCCCAGUGCACAUUGGUCAUUCCACACUGGGUCUUCUAAUUGAAUCCUUGUCAGCUCUCCCCCCACAGCCCUUUCUGGGUUAGAGCUUAGCCUAGAACUAGACAUAAGCAGCCAUCCUCUGGCUCUAUCCCUGAGCCCCACCCUGGCCCCUCUUGGGUCUUCGGAGCCAAAAAACGCCUCCCAAGCAGACGGCACACCCAGCCCAAAGUGUAACCACUCCAAAACGGAGGAGAAAACAGUGAAAGAGAAGGGACACGGGGUGUUUUUUCUGUCCUGAAUAUCCCCAACAACAUUUUACUCUUCAAGCUUCCUAGAUUUAUAAUCCUUUUAUUCUUCUUACCAGCUGCCCCCCAUGUCCUUUCUGCACCUAGUCCUGCGGUACCUAGAGAGAGGGGAAGGGGAGGAAAGAGGUUGUCAUCCCUCUUCCCUAGAUUUGAAAUGAGUAUCUUCACAAAUAUUUCAGGAUCAGUUGGAGAUAGCUGCCAGGAGCACUUUUCUGAGAAGACCCCUGAGGCCACGUCUGGGCUCUGCAGGAAGGAAUACUAUGAUCAACUAUUAACGGCUAUCUGUGAUCAACUAUUAGUGUCUGCCAUGGGCACAGUAUUGAGGACUAAGCGCGUUUGCCACCCCACUUCUAGAUAAUCAAGCAGUAUUUUCGGUACAGAGGUUUAGAUUCUCUGGAAAGGCAGAAAUUAUCAGCAUUUACUGAUAAGGACUAGAUUUCUGGAAAGCUGUGUCAUUGGGAAUAUAGACACCCUUUUUUUUGGGAGAGCAUUAUGGAUUUAAAAAGAAAGGUCUACCAGUAUAAUCUAUACCUAGACAUAGUAUUUUUUCUCACUCCCUAUAUUACCAUUCAGUGAUUUCCGUUAGGGAAAAACAAAAAGCUAUCCUGACUUACCUAUCUCAAACUAUUCCAAUAUUACUAAUCUCAUAUCAUAAAAUUCCACUCCUUAAUAAAUGAAUUUUGGCCAGUCUUGGCAUAAGUUGAUAUUCAGAAUUUUGCAUAAGUAAUUGGAUCAACAAUAGCCAGAAGAGAUCUUCCCUUUUUCCUUUUUUUUUUAAUUGUCAGGAUUAUUUGCCUGUACUGACUUUUUGUUCAACACCUGUGUACCAAGGCACUCAUCCUCAUUCAAACCUUGAAAGAGUAGAGGAGUUACAUUUCAUAACUGUAGAACCUGAGGAGGCGCACAGAGGUCUUCAAGCCACACAGGUAAGUAAGUGGUAGAGCAGGGUAUGAUUCCAGAACAUACAACUAUAUAAGCAAUUAAGUUAAUAUAAGUUAAUACAACUUUGCUUUGGAAUGUUGAUAAGUAGGUGAGGCUUUCAAACUGAAUUAGACUCAGCAUGCGUGAAAGUGCUUUAAAACUUACAAACCGUCAUAAGCACUGCCUCUCCUUCCGCUGGUGCCCUCUUCUGAUGCAGUCUCCUCUGUGCGACUUUUUAAGAUGAAAAGUCAAUCAUGGAACCACUUUCCUUAAAAGCUCUGUAACGGCUUCCUUUACUCUUGGGAUCAAGAGUAACUAUGCCCCAUGAGGUCCCAGCAAAUCUGGUUCCCAUCUUUUGUGCCCGGUUGGCUGGUUGUCCUUUGCUUUUCCUGGGAAUCAAGCUCCUUCCAAGCUCAGGUACAUUUCCUUCUGCCUGGAACACCCUUCCUGUCCACUUCACCUAGUUAUUGCUUAUUCUUCAGUCUCAAGCUAAAUAUUACUUUUUCAGAUAGCUCUUCCCCUGCUACCCAUGACUAGGUCCAGUCUCACGGCACCCUUUCCUUUUCCUUCAGGGUGUUUGUCACAAUGGAAUUUCACAGACAUAUAUGGUAUGUGUGUGUGUGUUUAAUAUCUUGUCAGGUCGUGAGUUCAGCGAGGCCAGGGACCAUGGCUCUCCUAUCUGUUACUGUAUUCACAGUACCUGGCGCAGAGCCUGGCAUGCGGCUGUCAGGAAUCUAACAUGGUGGUGUGAGAUGCUGAGUGGAAUCUUUCCUGUUGUCUAAGAAUGGGUGAGAAGAGCCCACAGUGAAGAACAAGAUGUUUAAAAUCUCCAUCUUCUAUGGUCAGAGAACUGAGUUUUCAUAUAGAACUUUUUAGAAAGAUGUCGUUUCUGCAGAACCAACUCUCAAAUUGUCCCCAUUCCUCACACCCGUAUAACAGGGCUGGAGGAGGGGGAGAAGUCACCUUUUGGGGGUACUUUCCUCAAAGAUGGGGAACAUUCAACUUGGAGAUUAUCAUUUUUCUGAGAACUGGUGAGCCACUAUCCCAGCAAGUGCUUCUUAUGCCCAUGGCCUGUGAAGCUAAGAGAAGGAGCAGGGAGAAAGAGAGAGGAGAGAGAGAAAAACUACAUUUGGUGGGAGAGGGAUGUGAGUUUCCUUGGACUCCAUGGUUUGAAGUGAAUCCCUGGAAGGAGGCUCGGGACUUGGUGCCUUCUUGCCAGUGCUUCACAGGAGAGCUGCUCUCCACAACCCAUGAGUAUCCUCGGAAGUGCCUCUCAACAAAGAGGUAAUAGAUGUGCCCCCAUGUGUGAGCCAGGAUAUGGAGAGUGUUCCAAAGAAGAGGCUCCCUGGCCUGUCAGAAAACCCAACCCCACCAAAGUGGGGUGGUUCACGUGAGGAACCCAAAGACCACUUUUUCACUGUGGAUAGUUACGGAGGGAAACAACCAAGGAAUAAGCUCAGGGAGGAGGGAUGCAGGGUGAGAGAGCAGACCACCUCACUCCUCUACCCCAAGUCACUGAAGCCACGAGCCACAAGUUUUGUAUUGAAUAUGAGGUUAAAAUGGUAACCAAAAUGAGACUUCUGGCCACUCAAAUGGGGAAAAGAUCAGUUUGAGAUAUUUUUAAUGACUUAAGAGGAAAGGGGGGAGUUAGAGCACAGAGGUAGAAGUUAUUUGAAAUAAAAUUGUUUCGUGUUUUAUUCUUCACUGAGUUGAACCUCAAAACAGUUAAGAUAAUUUAUUAAAAGGGUAAAAUGAACUGCAAAAUAUCCCUUCAGACUGAAGGUUGCACGUCAGUAUAUCUUCCCCUAAGUAAAUCUCCUCACCCACUGCUGCUAACUUAUGAAGGAAUGGAAAUACCAGUUCAAUCCUUCUAACACUUCCAGAAAAGGCCUGGUGACUCCCACUGCUGUCUCUUCUCCUUCCUCCAGGGAGCAAAAAGGCAAUUUAGUGAGACAGCAGAGUCCAAUAAGGAAAUUUCCCCAUAAGCCGUCUCCUGGCUCAUUUGCCUGAAGGAAACAUGCAUGAGGACAGCUGACAGGGGUUUAUCCAAUGUUACCUAUAGGUUAUCAUUCAGUGGUGUGAGGGUAAGACACCCACAUCUUUGACCAUUCUUCUUUGUAAUCAAUGGAUUCAUUAAGAAUAUCCAAAUAGAACCAGCUGGCUAAAAAACCCGAAAUAAAAACUUUGAAAUGCACCUUCCUUUGACAAUGUCAGUCCUACCCAGAAAUCAAGUUAUAAAUGAUUGACUAGGAACCUACUGGGUGUCAGUCCCAUUAGGAUUCUAUCUGGAGGGAACCUUAGAAAACAUUUGCUCCAGUGUUUUUCAAACUGUAAGUUCAAAAUCAAUUAAAUAUACCUUGACCAACAUUUCAAAAAAGAAAAUAUGAUUGAAAAUAUCAGAGUGCAUAGCAAGUGGUAAGGAUAAUAUUACUUCAUGAAAUUUUACAGUUGACUGUUACCUGUGUGCAAAUUUAUGUACUGGGACACAUGUAUUUUUCACUUUGUUUCAAUUAAGUUCAUAAAUCACUGAUCUAGAUGUUAGAUUCUAGAUCAUCUCCUUGUUGUUAGGUGUGAUCGAAUUGGCUCCGACUCAUGGUGACUUUAUGACGGAAUGAAGUGUUGCCCGGUCCUGCGCCAUGCUCACGAUAGCAGGCAUGUUUGAGCCCAUUCUUGCAGCCA